rnacentral:rRNA from 1 species
UUUUAUGGAGAGUUUGAUCCUGGCUCAGGACGAACGCUGGCGGCGUGCCUAAUACAUGCAAGUCGAGCGAACAGAGAAGGAGCUUGCUCCUUUGACGUUAGCGGCGGACGGGUGAGUAACACGUGGGCAACCUACCUUAUAGUUUGGGAUAACUCCGGGAAACCGGGGCUAAUACCGAAUAAUCUGUUUCACCUCAUGGUGAAAUGUUGAAAGACGGUUUCGGCUGUCGCUAUAGGAUGGGCCCGCGGCGCAUUAGCUAGUUGGUGAGGUAACGGCUCACCAAGGCGACGAUGCGUAGCCG